GGGCUCUUGGUGUAGUGGUUAUCACAUGUGAUUCCAGAACUUGGUUCCACAGGGUCGCCCGUUCAACUCGGGCAGAGCUCA
rnacentral:tRNA from 1 species